UUGAAUCAAUUCGAUGUGCGUGCGUCUUCAACAACAACAAAUUCGAAUCAAUUUCGAACCAAAAAUCAGAAAUUCUAGAUGGUUGGAGAAACUGAUACCAACAACAAUGGAGGUAACAACGGUUUUAAUGAAGAUAAGAAGCCUGCUCCUGAAAUUGAGUUUGAGGCGAAAGAAAAGCGGUGGCGAUGAGGGUGAUCCCGAGAUGCAGGAGAUGUGGGAUACCAUUGCUGGUGGUAAUUCUGAGGUGUGGCGAUGAGGGUGAUCCCGAGAUGCAGGAGAUGUGGGAUACCAUUGCUGGUGAGGUCAUAUUUUUGACUUCGUAGUGUUUAUGUUUUUUUAUCUUCUUGUGUUCCAGAGUUAUUAGCUGUUGAUAGUUUGUGGUUUGCUGCUAAUUAAAAGUAAUUGUCUUUGCUCUAUUGAACUGUGCUUGAUUCUAUAUUUUCCAUGUACUUGGCUCUUAAUUUGUGCUUUAAAAUACCAAUUGCUAAAGACUUAUGAAGUCUAGUCUAGAUUGAAAUAUAGUAGUUGAAGUAAAAUGGAACUCGGUUUUACUUUGACAAUUUAGAGAUGAUAGGAAGAGUUAUAAUUUGCAUCUGCGAAUGCUAGACUUAUGAAUUCAUAGAAAAACAGCUUACUUUUUGCAGUAUGAGAAGAUAAAAGGUAUAUUCUUGGCUGCACUUCAGUAGUUCAGUGUGUUAGCUUAGUGUGGGAUCUUGGUUUUUAUAAGAUUGUUGCCCUCCAAAACUAGUUAUGUUUGGGCAAUUGUUUAUGGGGUUCAAAUCAUGAGAGUGGUUUUUAGUCCUCAUUUGAACUAUUCUUCUUGUUUGUGAUAUUCAUGUCUUUUCUACGCAAAAUUAGUAUUGGUAUUUCAAUUUACUCUCCAACAUACACUGUUGGUCCAUUGUACUUCAUAUUCUAUUGCAAUAGUAGAAAUUUCAAUACAGCACUACAAAUUUAGCUCUACUUCAUUCUCAUACUCAAAUUUCUCUCUCCUUAAUUGGUUGAAUUUAUUAAUCUUUAAUUGUUGCCUGCUUAUUUAAGUAUGAUUUUUUCUUCAAUUCGGUUUGAUUUCUACUAAUUAAGUUAUUUUUUCUGUGAUUCGAGAUUAAGGGUUUUUAAUUGUGAGGAAAAUUUGGGAUAAUUCAACAAAUUUUGAAUAAUUUUCUGUUAGCUUUGUGUGUCACGAUUGAGCAUAGAAUUGUUACUAUAAGAAUCACUAAUCCUUAUUUCAGAGGAAUCCAAUUACUUGUAUUCUACCCACUUGAAUAAUGCCCACCGCCUGUUCGACGAAAUUACCACUUUUGAUACUAAGCUCUUUUUUUUAUGAUCAUCGUUUUGGUUCGACCCUUGUUAAUAAUGUGUGUUGUUGUGAUGGUUUAGUUUUUGUUUGUGACGAGAAAAGCAAGAUGUUGUUGGUAAACCUGACAACGAGGGAGAUUAAGGAGUUGCCGAGUCCGCGGUAUGUUCAGAUGUUCUUUAUCCUUAUGCUAGUUUUACUAUGUAUGGAAUUGGGUAUGCAAAAUUGAUCCUCUGACCUUGUAGACCAUUUUGGGGGGGGGGGGGGGGGAUGCAGAUUUACAUGAUCUAUCAUUCUCUACUGGAUUAGGCUUGACAAAUCCCUUCUUGUUCUUUCAUUGUUCUUCAAUUUUUGUUUUGUUUCCUGUUUUUUUUUUUUCCACUUAUUGCCUUUAUUAGAUCUAUGAUGUCUAACAUUUGAACUUGUAUGACUACACUAACUAUAUUAGCAAGCUUAAGAAUAGUUUAUCUCAAAAUAGCAAUGCAAAUACUUUAAAAGCAUACUUAAGGAUAUCACAUACAUAAUUGGUACUGGAGAGUGGCUGCAGGACAGCAAUUAACUUAAUCAACUUAUUCCUCAUCCUUGUUGUCUGGCAUUUAUAGUCUUUUGAUCAGUUUGCUUAACAUUUAAUUCUGUGAUGAUAAUUAUACCAUCUAAUUUGCUGCAUUUCAAUUUGGAGUUGUAUGCUGAUGUUGGUAGAUGCUUUCUCUGACCAAGUGACCAGGAAAGAACCAAAUGAAUUGAUAAAACUUGUCAGAUCUCUUACAGUGGAAAGUAAUGGAACUUUUGGUAAACUGCUUUGCAUAAUUUUGAUCCUGAUAAUUGACAGCAAUGUCUACGUAAUUUCCUGAUAUAAUUGCUUUUUUCUUUUUCCUGAUUUAUUUCCUCGAGGUGAAACUACUCCAAAUAAGCGAAACCCAGCAAUUAUGGAAGCUAGGAAAUGGCAGCAAGAGAAAAGAUCAGGCUUAAAGAAAAAGUUUAAGUAGUUAGUACCAUUCCAAGUUUGGAGGAGGGGAAGUGCUGUGAUAUCUGGAGGAUUGCUUUAUUACAUGUUACUCAAACAGAAUGUUGUCUUAUAUAAUGUGUAUUACUAUAUCUGCUAUCUAUAUGAGCACACAACUUGUUUUAAGGCUUGUUAUUAUGAUUUUUUUCUGGCUUGUUUUAAGGCAGGAUUUCCUUCCUUAUAUGAGUAGUGUUAUGCUUCUUCUUCUUCUUUAGUCUGCUUAGCUUAUACCUGAUGUGACCAUCUCCUCUGCAGACUGAUAAUGAUAUUGAAGAUUCCGAUGAUGAAAGGUCAAGUCUGAGCAAUUAUGGAUAAAAUCAAGCAGGUCCUCACUGCUAGCUCGAGUAGAAAAAGAGAGGUCAGAGAGGGCUAAAGUAGAGGACUAUGAUGCUGAAGAGAGUAAUUUACUUAAAGAGGAAAAUGAGCAGUAAGAAAAAGAGAGAGAUCAAAGAGGGCCAAAGCUUAGAAGUGAGUCCCCUUGGUUGAAAACUGUAAUCCUUGGUGUGAUCACUUAAGUGAUCACCCAGCCAGCCUGAACAGAGCAGAAACAAAGCCACAGAAGCAGAACAGAUGCCCAGCUAGCUUGAACAUGACAGAGGUACAGUAGCGCAGCAGAAUAGAAACAGCAGCACAUCAAACAGCAGAGCAGCCUGUCAGCCUGAACACACAACAACACAGCAGCCAACACAGCAGCCACCAGCACAAGACCAGGACAGCUCCUGCUGGAACUCAGACUAGGAACAGGAGAGCAACACAGAACAGUAGCCAAACUGAAGAAAAAUAACAGUCACUAAAACAGUAUGCUGUUCUUGAGCCCUUGCAGCCACUUACAAUGUUGUCUUGUCUAUUUUUAAUGAAAACAUGUAACUUUAUAUAUAUGUUAGUGUUUAUAUGUCAAUUUAAGUGAAAAAAAUGCAAAAAAAAAAAAAAAAAA